AAUACAAUUCCAGUGCGGGUGCCCGCUCCUGAGAACCCGCCUCGUCUGCGUAACACCCGCGGUCCCUCGCCAGUUCCGACAGGCUGUUUUCCCUGAGGUCUGGUCGGGCCCGCCGUGCCCGUUAACGGCUUUCUGUCAGUCUUUGUGCGAGCCCGCCGGCCGCAGAGGCCGGGAGGGACGGGCCAGCGGUGCACGACACUGCAGCGAACAAAAUGAGUUUGUCAAGGAAUUCCUAGAAUUGUGAGGGAUUACUCAAAAGGGUGAGGCAGGAAAAGACCAUCUAGUUUACUGAACAUCAGAAUCUGCAAGAUACAGAUAUUUAGCUUCAAGUGGGGGUGGCAUGGAGGGCCAGGGUAACCGCUGUGUACCAGGGUUGAUCCACUUUUUUCAGAAAGAUUUUUUAAGAAGCCAGCCUAAAUCAGCUUUCAUGUAUGACAAUUUUCUCAUCCUUCUGCAGAUGAGUAGAACAAUUGGUCAUAAUCUUGUAGUAGGUUGGAUGCAUGGAUCAGUGGAUGUGUGUGUAUAUGUGUGUGUGUGUGGGGGGGGGGUUACUGUAAGCCUACGUUUGCUAUUUGGACUAUCGAUAUUUUAGACCUCUCAGAGAAAAUGCCGAAUACCAAAAGGUUUUGUGUGACUUAGGGCACUAGUUCUGUAACUGUGUUUGUAGCUACUGAAUGACACUGAUGGUUUUCACAUAUGUGAGUUCAAAGAGAUUAUCCUGGAGAAAAGGCAGAUUCUUUUCCAUGUGAUUUGGUAAGAAUUUUCUCUCCUCUGUUUACAGUUUUGGGUUUAACUAGACAGUAUCAUAAUAAUCCACACGGCUGCAUGAGCAGUUGGAUUUAUGUUUAUGUCCUUGGAUACUUUUAUAUGGCUCAAAAAGUAUCAGGCUCAUCACAAAACUAGUGAAAUUUGUGGAUCAUACACAGCAAGUUUACAGCUAUUUCAAACAUCGUAUUGCCAAGAGCUGUGAACACAAAGAAAAGGAAGGAACCAAAAACAGACUUGCAAUAAUAUUACAUGACUACUCAGUUAAGCUGUGUGUGUCAAGACAGUUGUGUGCAGGCUCACAUCCUAUUCCAGCAGGGCUUACUUGGGCACAUGUGAUACUCUGAUUCAGCUUCCCUGGACCUUGGAUCAUCUGUACAGACUAUGAAAUCAAAUGAGAUGAAAACAACAUUCUUUGUACCUGCUCUUUGAAACACUGUCGUCUGGCUCCACUCACUCCAUUGACUGUGAUGCAAGAAGAGGGCCUGAAUGAUGACGCAGGGUUCCUAAGAAGAAGAGCUAUUGAACUUCAGUAUUGAUGUUUAAUGUAAAAUCUCUCAGCCUUAAUAUGGAAAACCAGAAAGGCAGUCUUAAGUCAGCUGGUGGAGCUCAGUGGCAAGGCCAUUGUACCCAAAGAAAAAGCUCAUUCACAUGAUCUUGUAUGCUCACCUGAAUCUUAGAGGAAGUCAGAAGCUUCAGGCUCUGGACUCUUUCAAAAUGUGUUUUGCUCCUUCUUGCUCCCAGAGCAAGAUUCUGAUUUUGACAAGACACUUGACAAGGUCUAGCAAUGCAUGUUUGCAGCCCAGAAAGCCCAUUGUAUCCUGGGCUGCAUCAAAAGCAGCAUGACCAGCAGGUUAAGGGAGAGGAUUCUACCUCUCUACUCUGAUCUUCUGAAACCCCUACUUGCAGUACUGUGUCCAGUUCUGGGGUCCUCAACCUAAGAAGGACAUGGAGUUGCUAGAGCAAGUCUGGAGGAGGCCACAGAGACGAUCAGAGAACUGCAGUCCCUCUGCUAUGGAGAGAGGAUAGGAGAGCUGGACUUGCUCUGCUUGGAGAAGAGAAGGCUCCAGGGAGAACUUAGAGUCCUUUCCAGUACAUAA